UACAGAGGGGGCAAGCGUUAUUCGGAAUUAUUGGGCGUAAAGGGCGCGUAGGCGGCCUGGCAAGUGACGGGUGAAAGCCCUCGGCUCAACCGAGGAACUGCCUGUCAUACUGCCGGGCUUGAGUCCGGGAGAGGUGAGUGGAAUUCCCAGUGUAGCGGUGAAAUGCGCAGAUAUCAGGAGGAACACCGGUGGCGAAGGCGGGUCUCUGGGCCGAUACUGACGCUGAGGAGCGAAAGCGUGGGGAGCGAACAGG
rnacentral:rRNA from 1 species